CGGCAGUUACAUCGGUGUGUUUUCUUUUCUCUUUAUGGACUCCAACUCCAGCAACCAAGCUGCUCCACAACUUUAACUCUGUUUUGAACGAGUGGGGAACAUUGUAAAUAACCUGUAAAGGAGGCGAUGGAGAUUUUGCAGUGAUAUAUUUGGGUGGCGCAUUGGUUGCAGGCACAUGAAACAUUAUCUGCACUGACACAAGGACCAAAGCGUGAUAGCAUUUUCUUUCAGUAUAAUUAGAUUCAUGCUUCAAAUGUUUCAAGAAGCUGCUUAAUGGCUUCAGCUUAAUUGCUUAAUAUGUUUUUCAUGCUAAUUCAUUUUGGACAGAAAGUGUAUGUUACAAAGAGCGUAGAUUUUCUAGAAACUCUGAGUUUCUUUGGAUUAGUUUUGACAAGUAUUGUAAUGGUCUGCAGUUUAUUCAUUAUCCAUAGACGGUUCAGCAUUCACGCAAGCAUUGAGAGAGAGAAUUAUGUCCUCGUUAACUUUCUAACACUAUCUCUAAGGAGAUUAUGCCUCAUCAUUAAAAGUGUGAACAGCAAGGUUUUUGUAUGAAUAAAAAUACAAGCUUUUCAUUUAGUUUGUAUCAUUCAUUUAUUUGCAAAUAUUAACUACAGAUGACUACAGCAAAGUAAAGGACAGUUCACCCUGACUUCAGGGCAGCUGAAAUAAAUCUCUGGGACGGUAGUGAAAAAAACUAUUCUGUGGCCUCGUUCCUCAGUGUCAGCCGAUAUAUACCUCACUGACAAUUGGUAUUAGCUGAAAACCAUUUGGGAAUAAGGUUUCUUUCAUCAAGGACAUUCUUCUCUCUUACAUCUCCAAAGUGCCUUACAAAAAGAUGUGAGUAAUGUUAACAGUGUGUGAGUUGUGGAAAGGGUAGAUAGACAAGCGUGAUGGGUAGUUGAUUAUGCAUGGACAAUCAAAGCUUAAUGUUGCAGCCGCACAGCUUCAGUCCACUGAUUCUUUCUACCUGUAUAAUCGUCAGCAGUCCUGCGGGUUGGAGAGAAAAUGAGCCGUUGAGUGAGAAAAUCACUAUCUCUGCUGCUAGUAUCAUUUUAAAAGGGACGUUAGUCUUCAAUUUGGUAAACUGGUAGUGAUGCUAGGUAGACGGACAGCUGUUUGCUGGCAAUCUUUCCAUAUUCAACAGUUGCCAAGUAUUUGUAUCCGUUUUCAGUGUAGUUUUUAUCGGUAUCGGUGUGGCCUGAUUGGAUUCUGAAGCGUUUUAAUCAAGCCCCGAAUACGGGCUGGUCAGUGAAAAGCCAGCGUUCCCACAAGACCCGCAGUCUGGACGCAUCGGCUGGCUCGUUCCUACCUAUGACGCCACCGUUCAAUGGUCAACUGCCCAUCAAGCACUGUUCGAGAUCAAUCACCAUUUCCAUCCGGACGAACCCCAGGAUGGUGUCCAAGAAGGACAAUCACUCCCAUGAGCCCAGAUCAAAUCACCCCCGUCUCACACACAGUGCAUUACUUAGGACCAGAGAGCCAGUUGACAAGGGAGUGGUUAAGAUUAUUGCUUUAUUGGCUGCAAUACGAUGCCAUUUGAGACGCAUCACAAGUAGCCGAGCUUUAAAAGCACAGUGGCUCUCAGAUUCCCACUUGAAAACGUGCUAUCAGGCCGGUCCAGCCAGCUAUGCGGCGCCUGUGCUGGUCUUGGCACUGGCACCAGGCUGGAACUGGGCCGGGCCUGGGGCCGACUACACAUGAAAAACACAGCGCCCAUAUCCUGAGAGGAAAUACAAUCCCUCGCUCCUUCAACGACCCCAUCCCCCAGCGUCUGCUUCACUGGCCAGGGCCUGGUUCGUGUCUAGUGAGAAGGGUGCUUGGGAUUGUGGGUAUAAGUGCCGGAGUACAUGUGACUGUUUAUGUUAUGUGAGGGCAGCGGGCAUUAGGGAUUAUGGGUCACUGUGGAAAUGCAGUUGAAAGGGGAGGUCUUGCGCCUGCAUAACUUCCACGGCUUUUGAUAAACACCGACCACUUUUCUUGUCUGUGUGCAUUUUCUUGUUCGCAGUUCGAAGGUAUAUCAUCCCGUCAAAGGGGAUUUCUGUGCAGCUCUUAAUGUGUCGUCGCUAAGGCCUCACACUGCUGUUAUGUGGAAAAGCACGGCUGAAAGUGAUGACACGGGAUCAUUUUCGUUUCACCCUGCAGCCCCGGCCCGACCCGGGGGCUGGAUCAUAAUAAUAGCUCUGUGUGACAGCCGUGCUGCACCACUCUGAACAAAUGCUAGCUGACAGUUGCUCCUACGUGAGUAUCGCUGGGCUGCAGCUCCAUUGUACUGAAGGUAACAACACCACUGAAUGGUACGGAGCCAGAGCUGGCGGUGCUACGACCAGGAGCAACACGCGCUAUCAAUAAUGUAGCUGGGUUACGGCAUUUGGGAAAGGGGGAAGCGGAGAGCGGUCGAUUCAAAAUACAUGCAUGUAUAUAUAGAACUAAAAGCAACAUGACUUUGUGGCAUAUGUUUCGACCGCAUGUUAUCAGGGACAAUGUUCUAAACCUGCCUUGAAUAUGAGCUGACCAAUCCGAUGACACGUUGAGCCAGGUGUUGAGAUGGCCGUACACCCCCAUCAGGACAAGGGGAUUCCCCGAAGCUUCAAAGCUUGCGAUCCGGUUCCCCACAGGCAGGGUCCUUGUUUGUAAUGGCCAUUUUGUGGUUGCGAGGGACACGGGAGGGUUGAGUAUCAGACCGCCUGGCCAAACAGUCACCCCACUGUUCUCGAGCAGAGAACACACAUAGAAGGCCUCAAUUAGUUUCCCCCCCCCUUGGUAAUCUCCGUCCCCUGUCACAUGAUCUGGGCUGUUUGUAAUAACACACAGGGGGCCGGGGCCGGACCGGUCAGGAAAUGAGAUGAUCCACGGAUGACAGCUAAGGCACACAGAAGCCACUUAUCUGUUAUUACUAUGCUCCAAAAACUCUUGCCUGUGCGUGGGCUGUGUGCGUGUGUGUGUGUGUGUGUGUGUGUGCGUGUGUGUGUGCCUGCGAAUGCAUGUGUUUACACAUGAUUGCAAGGAUGCACACGAAAUGAAGUGUGCUAUCAAAACAAAUCAAAUAGAUUAAAAGAUUUGGAAGACAGGAAAGGUUAAUCAAAAUUUGAUGUGUGUGUCAACAAUGCUGCCGGUUUGCACAAGACUGAACCACAAUCACAACCCGUUGGGUCCACCGUGAUUCGGGAGUGUAUGCAGGUUUUAGAAGCAGCCUGCUGUUAAGAAUGAGCAAUCCUUUUCCACUAUAAUAGGCCUCUGUCUGCCCACCGGAGCUCCAGCAUCUCAAAUAAUCUGCCUCGACAUCACCUGUGUCAUGUUCUCUGUCAGUGAUGUGGAUACCCUGCUCCGCCCCGUACCGCUCUCGUUCCUUCACUCUCCCCCUGAAUGUUCAGGCACUAUCAGUCAUGGAGUGUAGACACAGAUCUCCAUAAAAAAGCAAGGUAGGGAAAAAACCUCAGGCUCAGUUCAAAGGCUGAGAGCCCCUCUCUCUCUCUCUCUCUCCCUCUCUCUCCGGCUCUCGAGUCGGAGAUCAAAGCUAAACGCUGUGCAACAAAUGUGUGUUUCUGUCAUUGGCGAUUUGUCUGUGUGUUUGAUCAGCGGGCUUCCUUAUCUCGCCGCUUCACUCCACUGCUAAUAUGCAGUAAUGGACUGCCUUUCAUGAGACAAGAGACGGGAUCUUGACGUGAAGGAUGUGACUGAGGUGAACGGAGCGGAGGGGGAGUCACUUUGCAGAUUCCUGAAAACGCGACAGUACAUGCAUGUCCACGCAGAUGGAUGCUGAGUCUGAGCUACGUGAAACACAGGGAUAAGAUCUGCAGAUAUGAAAGCAGCCUAAUGGCAGACUGGAGAAUUGAGUAUGAAGCGGUGGCAUAAGCGGGCAUACAUUAUCCUUUAGAUACCCUCAGUACUCACACAGCAGAAAAUAAUGUACUGCAUUAUAUAAGACUUAAAUGUAUCUCACAAGACGAGCAUUUUGUUUCCCCCCAGUGUGAAUAAUGACCUGCACUUUAGGUCUCACAACAUCAGAGAGGAAUAACUAUUUAUCUAUCAUUUACGGGUAUGAAGAGAAACCGUAAUCACAUGUGUGUCUGCUUCCUGCAGGCGAGGGGGGCAGGCUGGGUGAGGGUCCCGGAGGGGAUAGGGUAACAGGUGGGCCGAAUGCCAUUCACAAGGGUCAGACCGCACAAUGCCAGCUUCUCCCUUUGAUGCUGAUACCAUCUUCUGUGUGUCUGCUCGGCCCGGGUCCCUAUUUCACCGCUCAGCGACUCUACAUCCACUUGCCUCCGAUUGUGUCGGCGGAACAGCCCCCGGAUCCAAUAACGCAGUCCCGCUGUAAGGAAAUUACCCGUUUUAAUAAUGGCCGUCAACACAUGCCCUGUGGAUAGAAUAUGAAAUAUAUAUAUAUAAUAUUCAGAAUCCAAGUGUGUUUGUGUAGGUGAGCAGCAUCAAAUCCCAUCAGUGAGUUUUAUCAGAGCCUUUAAAAUGUACUUAAUUAACAUUUUUCUAUUGUGAGAGGGCUUUUCGUUUUGUAUUGCCCACGUAAACUAAACUCUUUUGGAGUAGAUCAGAGAAUAUUGACAUUUUAUUCUGGUCAAUUUAAAGGCACUUUAACACAAAAUAUCUCUAGAUCACCUUAAAAUGAAACAAGGGGGAUAUUCAGAGCAUUAAUAUAGCAGCAAACCACUAUUUUCUAUGUAAACGUAUAGUAGAGUAACAUUUAAUGUCACUUGUAACAUCACUGUUAGCAACUGGUGAGAGCCAUAGAGCGGCAAACCCAACGCUCCCAAUCUCAUAAAUAGCACCUUUAACACGGAGUACGUCCUCAUAAGAGCCACACGACUCCACACACGUCCCCCAUGAGUACGCUAAGCCGGCACCACCAGUAAUGUGUUUGUAUGCAGAACAAAUAGGAUUUAAUCCCCGAAGCUGUUAGACUUGUGAGCAUCCACAGUACAUGAAGGGAUCAGCAUUCCUUGUGUAUAGCAUUAUAAAUCAGCUUGCACUUUUGACCCAUCACACUCUCUGGUCUAUGUCAAUUUAAAAAUUGUGCUUUUUAUUUUUUUUUGCGUGUACGUGUGCAUGUGUGUAAAUUCAUUGUAUGUGUAUUUCUGUGCGGUUGGCUGCCUUGGAUUUAAUUUAGAAACUAAAUUAUGUGAGCGAUGACCAUUUUGUCAUUUCCCCGAAUCCCUCGGCUUUUGUUUUGUGCACAGAAAACACAUUAGCCGACUAUCUUCAAUGUGGUUUGACAUGAAAUCCAGGCGACAGUGUAACAACAGCAUAACCACAAGAAAGAAAACAAACCAUUUGUUGCAAAGAUGCAACUCGAUAUCCGCAGAAACGUCUCGCAUUUUCAUUGGCUUAGUGGACCAAUGGCAGCCAUCUAUAGGCGCACGGGACCAUAACAUAGAGACGAGGAACUGAGAGGAAAGACCACGGGAGGAGUUGAUGAGUCAUUGAUGAGACAUACAUUAUUAAUGAGCAUCAUGAUUGCAGAACAAAGAUUGGAAAUACGCAAUGCCAUCUGGACUACGAGUACGAUUUGUCAAAACAAAAGGGAAAAAUUGAAUUUUGAUUAAGUUUAUUACUGGGUCAAGAUCUAAUUCAUACAGCCACUCGUUGCCGUUUUCCCGACUGUGCUUGCGGUCCAGAAAGUGAAUUAUCAUGUUGAAAGGUCAUGGGCAUCCUCACAUUCUGAGCACUUCAGUGCAGUCAUUUACAAUAUUAUGAUAAUGUGCUUCGCCUUUAUUCGAUUGUAAAAGUUUAAUUGCAUUGGAUUGGAUCCACGGGAACAUUGGAAUAGCGUAUGCUGUCUUUAAUAAUCGUACUUUCUAGUGCGAUCACAAAGGGCCGGCCAGUGAGUUUCCCCGGGCAGCAUGUGGAAAGGUUGUGCAGCGGCUACUAGCUUUUAAGUAAAUUAUAAGCUAGGGGUGAUGGCCAAAAUAAGUCAUUCUAUGAUCAAAGCUUAUGCUGAUCCAUUUCUAUAGCAUUUGGGGCCUCACCUCACGUUAGGAACCAAUGCUCCAGCCUCCUUUACUUGUCCUACUAGAUUGUGGUUUCCGUCUCUGCAGCCCUACGGUCUGUUAUAAGGCCUCCCUAAAGCCUAGUUUAUGCUUCUGCGUUUUCAGAGCGACGCAGACGCAAGACCCGCUUGCGUGUCCCUUGAGUCCCUUUUCGCACCUCCUUGCGUCCUUGCGUGUGUCGAGCCAUUUUUCUAGGCUUGCGUCGCUUUUCGUAAAUAUGACCGCUUAUACAAGCCGUCAUUGGCGGCUUGUAGAAGCGUGUUGGAUUCACGGAGGGAGAUCGCCGCAAACGCCGGUUUGCCGGUCGAGAGGUGCACGAAGUUGUGGAGGAAAAUACGGGACAAAUGUGUCCGCGAUGGAAAGCAGCCGUGGCGAUGCACGGGGCAAUAAAGUCUAUGAUACGUAAAUAAACAUACCAACGGCUUCCACACACAAAGACGUGACUCUCCAGCUCGUCUUCAACAGAAACACGUUACUCCGCCUGUUGUUCUGGCGCUGAAUUGCUCUGCAACACACGCAGAACCAUGAAUUGAAACGAGUGCGUCGACGCAACGACGCAGAAGCCCGCGCCGGCCUUUAGGCUCGCCUGUGCAGUAGCAGCAGGGGGCUCGUAUCACUCCUUGCUGCUCGAGCAGGUGUUUUACUGCUGUGGGAGGACUGGCACACGCCCAGAGAUCUUCAGGGAGAGAAAGAGGGGAAAGUGAGGGAUUCUGUUCUGCACCGGGUCAGAGGAAUGCCUAACUGUAAUCAUCUGUGAUGGUAUAAUCGUAGCUCAGUCAAACUACUCCAGGCUGAUAAAUCCCCCCUCUCGUACCGCUGUGCGGUGCACACGCUCGCGCUCUCUCUCUCUCUGAUAUGAGUGAAACUGGCAAUCUGACUUUAAAGAGCCACGUCUCAGCUCCGUCUGAAGAGUCUUUAUCAUUCCAAGAGUUUCCUUUUCCCAAGCUUAUCUAGGAGCGCUCUGCUCAUUUUAAUCUGCGUCUGUGUAUGAAGAGUGUCCCAUCGGGGCUGCCAUACACUGCAAGAUUAAUGAACCCAAUUUGCAAAAGUGACCUUUUGGCUACUAAAGCACUGCCGCUGCUAAGCUUCUUAAUGCCUGCUUUAAAAAAAAAUGUUGUUGUAGAGAGCAACUCUUUGGAUAAGAGCAAGGAAAAUAAGCAGAUCAGGAGUCUGGAUUAAAGUCGUGCCGACGUGGCCGCGGUCACAACCCUCUGAGGACAAGUUUCAGUGAGGAGCUGAGGGAUGAGUGGAGCAUUAAACAAGCAAAUCAGAAGUGAGGAUGAUACUGUCAUGUGUUUACAACUACAAUAUCAGCGUGUCCACAUGCCGGACCGUGCGGGUUCCUCUCUCACAUUUGGUAUUGCAGCGUCGGAUUGCAUAAGAGGCACGAUGUUUCUUUUUUGAUUGAGCGCAGUGGACUGAAAGUCCAGCGUCAAUCGGCCGUUGAUAAAUGUGAGAGAUUUAACGGGUUUCGUAUAAAUUUGGCCCAACGUAACUCCAAAGCUGGGAAAUAAAAUGACGGAGAGCAGGACGGCGAGGAGGGGAUCCUGUUUCUUAGAAUUAAUGAGGUUGUUUUUUGGAACAGGAUGUAAGACACGUCCAGAAAAUCCACCCCACCUCCAUGUUGUCCAAUCAAACGUGGUUUCCAGUCCCGGGUUGCCUCUCUGCGGCUCUCAGCGAGUCGUCCCUGCGGCUCCGGGACAGCUCCGCGCAUACAUUAAAUUAGCCGUAACAAUGGAAAGGACAGUAAGAACCAUGUUGUGAUGGUGGCAAAAUGAUUAAGGCUUCAUUAAACCCUCCUCUUCAGAAACCCACAGUUCCCUCGGGGCGCUCUAAUCUUUUUAAAAUGAACUGACAUACGACUAACGGUCUGAAUUUGAAGGGAUUUUUAACGACAGUCACUUCAACAUUACUUAAUGAGUAGUUAAACUCCACCAUUAGGCCGUUAGUAAAGUAUGCACCAGUCUUUGGAUUUCUCUAACAUUUUGCACCUAAAGAAGGUCAGAAUCCCUUUCAAGGGAUUAAAAGGGACCGCAGAGAAGACAUUUCUAGUUAAAAUAUUUACUUUGAAUAUGAUAUUUUUACUCGAAAAAAGUUUAAACCUCUUCCUCACUUCCUUUACGAGCCGUCUCACAGUCUAAACUCGUCAUGGUACCAUGUACCUCGCAUCACUCGCUCGGAGCAGAAAUAAGAGUCCAAAUUCCAAAACGUGUCUCUACUUUGCAAAAAUAUUCAAUGCCAAAAUCUUUUCCUGGCGACUGUUACAGCGACGGGGCGUUAAAUGGCUCAUAAUGAAUUAUUAACUGAGAUUUGAAUACCAUUUAUCAUGUGCCAUUUCAGCUGCAGUCACAGGUGAGAAAUGGGGGGAAAAUACGGGCGCAUCCUGAAACGUACAAAGCACAGCUUCAGCCAGGCGAAGCCAUUAAAACGUAAGAUUACUGGCACAAAUUGCAAGUGACAAAAUAAACGAAAAAGGACUGGACAGCAGAAAAAACACUUUCAUCUCAGGGGAGACUAACAGGAGCUAUUUCAUGUAAAUUUCUGGUCGUCAAUUUAAAAACCCUUUAGUCUUCAUGUCCCGAAACAGACAAACAUAUUCGGGGGUUUCGAUAUAUUUGCAAAUCCUGCGCCUUCACUGUACCGAAUCGGAAAGGCAUUUGCUGCGUUUUGAAGGUAAAUCCAAUGUAGGAAUGUGGAUAUUAUUUUUCUCUGACAGGCUCUGUGAGCGUUUGCUCAGACAAAUAUGAUGACGGAGGCCCUUCGAAGGAGCAUUUUAGCGCGAGCAUCUGGUAUUUCAGGUUUAAAGGUUUGUAACGAGCAGUCUCAAGCUGUUCUUUCUACCCCACAGUCCCGCGAGCCAUCACUCUCGCUUCGAGGACGCAGGCUUUUAGAGGUACUGUAAGUGCUCCGAAAUACGAUUUAGCUGUGGAGCUCAGCCCUUAGUUCUUCAGUGAUUUCUGGUAUUCCCUGCCAUAUUUAUUCCGUUAACAUGAAUAAAAUGCAUUUACGGGGCGCAAACUGAGCAGCGGUCCGCCUGCCGCGCUCCAAAUUAUGAGGCUGUUAUUUAGCGGCCCUUUCUCUGAUGGUAAAGAGGGGAGAAUGAAAGAGCCGCUGGAUGCGUUUGCCAUUGACUCUGACAUUGGAGGAGAGAUUGAUUGCAGCGCUUUUGCCUUUGACACAAAUGUAUGUUUUUAAGCAAACGGGCGAAACAUCAAGUCUGUCAGGAAUAUAAAUGAGGGAGGUCCGAUAGCAGACGCGUAGCACGCCAGGCUCACUUGAAUCUAUUUUAGUUCCUUUCACUGAGAUCCAGUUGUUUUUUUACUUCUUUCACAGCCUGUGAGCGUCAGCAGUUGAAGGACCUUGGUGCAUGCGUGUCUGUUUGUUUGUGUGUUUGAGGAACCGUAUCUAUCAGGCGUUCUGGCAGCACAGUGCCAAGUCGUAUAAACUGAACCUCGGUCAAGAGGCUGCAUCCCGUCAUGAGCAAUGACCAUUAUGGGCUCCUCUCGCUGGCUCCGCUCCUGCCUUUCACUUAUGAAAAUGUGACAUCUCAAAUUCUCCUAAGAGGCGGAAACCUCUGUCUUUGUAAGUGAUGGUUCCAUUUAGAGUGAAAUAGACCAUGAAGCAUUUUUUGAUUGCCACCAAAUGUCUUCUUCGUCCCCGGGUCACUUCAGGUUCCCAAAACCAAGAUGCAGAACUCCAGCCUUCAAAAUCGGAGUUCAGAAACCAAAGGGCGACGUCUUACGUACAGCCUGGACUAGAAACACAUGAGAAUUCUCUAAACUCAACUAAUUGAUUAGCAAGUAUCUGUUAAAGCAGCACGAAGAGGCACAUUUCUGUUACAGACCUUCUCACCUUAUGUACCACGUCGUAUAGCCGGCACAUCGGCACGAUAAAACAACGCUGUCAUACACCGCUCGGGUCAUUUUCUCUGCGCUGUUAAUUCUGCAUUCUGCUGUUGCCAGAUCAACAUCUGCUACGAGACCGUCCAUGAUAAUCACAAAGCUGAAGUCGUAGAAACUGUGAGCUAUAUCGUGCAGUGAACUCUCAGUUAGUGAAUUCAGAUUGCCUUGGUGAGCAGCGUAAUGUCAAGGAUUCAAUUGUGAAAUACGUAGCUCUUUGUGUACUAUCUGCUCUUCUCACAUUAAAUUCACUUUUUUGUCCUAAUUGCCCUCCGGUCCCUCCUCCCGUCCGUCUGGCAAUUCUCUCCAGGCAAAGCUUCAUGAUACACAGUCGACAUCGUGGGACAUUUUGCGUCCACUAAUUAUCCGACCGACCUGAACAUGCUGUUGCGUAACGAUCAAAUUAUGUCAAAACGUUCUAUAUAACUGAAUAAAGAAUUAGAUUUUUCUCGAAUUACUCCAAUAUGUUACAGCUCUUAAAAAAAAAAACUGUCUUCAUUCGCUUUUAAAACAAGUUUAGGGUUUGAUUCCGCUUUCAUGUGCUAUUCCCAAGCUCAAGGGCCACUGGAGUGUUUUUCAUUUUGUAGCACAUCAGACAACACAUGUUGAGUGUCGCCGCUAUUCAGCCGGCCCGUCGCAUCGCGUUUGAUUGUAUUGAGCAAGUAGCAUAAUGUUGUUUUUUCCCCCGGACAAGAGCGGUCUGUUGAGAGCGCGGUCACCGGGUGAGGACAUUAGUUACCCCCUCCUCAUUCACACGGCGAGCUCACGGGGGCCGAAGCCGUCUCCUAGCAACCGGCAACAAAGUUUAGGCAAAUUCCUGUGUGUGGUCACGCUCGAUCAAAGCGGCGGAUGAUUUACAUUUUUUUUUUUUUUCAAUCAGAGCAACAAAAACACACUUUUGUCAGAUUAAUUAGAUACAGAAAUGAUGCUGUACACGGAAAACAGGUGUCGUUUCCCUCCUUCUGCUGCUCUUGGUCUCUGUUGCAGGAAAUACGGUGACGUGGGAGGUAAACGCACUUCUGCUUAUUAUUGAAGCAUUUAGCAUCAAAAUGAAUGAAUGCCAUCUGAGAAUAGCGUGCAAACAGGCUCCUGUUGCCUCGCAGUGUGGGACUUGUUUCACAGUGGGGGGGUUAGGGGGGGCACAGAGAGAGAAAAUGAAUUUGAGAUAGCAGUGAAAAAAGGGAGGUGGGGGCCAA
ensembl:lncRNA